rnacentral:rRNA from 1 species
UUCCUACGGGGGGCAGCAGCCGCGGUAAUACGGAGGAUGCGAGCGUUAUCCGGAUUUAUUGGGUUUAAAGGGUGCGCAGGCGGCCUGUUAAGUCAGCGGUAAAAGCCCGGGGCUCAACCCCGGCGAGCCGUUGAAACUGGCGGGCUGGAGUUGGAGAGAAGUACGCGGAAUGCGCGGUGUAGCGGUGAAAUGCUUAGAUAUCGCGCAGAACCCCGAUUGCGAAGGCAGCGUACCGGCUCCACACUGACGCUGAGGCACGAAAGCGUGGGUAUCGAACAGGAUUAGAUACCCGAGUAGUCCAUGAC